rnacentral:rRNA from 1 species
UCGGGAAUUUUGGGCAAUGGGCGAAAGCCUGACCCAGCAACGCCGCGUGAAGGAUGAAGUAUUUCGGUAUGUAAACUUCGAAAGAAUAGGAAGAAUUAAUGACGGUACUAUUUAUAAGGUCCGGCUAACUACGUGCCAGCAGCCGCGGUAAUACGUAGGGACCAAGCGUUGUUCGGAUUUACUGGGCGUAAAGGGCGCGUAGGCGGUGUUGUAAGUCACUUGUGAAAUCUCUGAGCUUAACUCGGAACGGCCAAGUGAUACUGCAGUACUAGAGUGCGGAAGGGGCAAUCGGAAUUCUUGGUGUAGCGGUGAAAUGCGUAGAUAUCAAGAGGAACACCUGAGGUGAAGACGGGUUGCUGGGCCGACACUGACGCUGAGGCGCGAAAGCCAGGGGAGCAAACGGG